rnacentral:miRNA from 14 species
UCCUCUUCCUCCUCCUCUUCCUCCUCCUCUUCCUCCUUCUCCUCCUCCUUCUUCACAGUUUCAAAAAGUUCAGUUAAAAGCAAAGGGGUAGUUGCACUGUGUGGGAAUUAAUAAGCAGAUAAAUACAGUUAGAGGCCUUUGCAGGUAAAUUAGUCCUUAGGGCUCUGAAGUCUGAUGGUGUGACUCUGAAGUUCCUAUUAUCUUUUGGUGAGUUACACAGUUU